GCGAUGAGCUAAUUUGCGUAAGUCAAUGGAUAUAUAAACGUACGAAUGUGGUCGUACGGUCCUUGCCGCAAAACGCAUCAAAACGCCUGUUUAUUAACAGGCG
rnacentral:sRNA from 1 species